AAAAAAUACUGGGCUUUUCAUAUAACAAGUAAUUGGAAUUGUAUAGACCUUAUUAUAUAUUUCUGAGUUUCCAAACCUAUUCAAUCAGCACUUUCUAUCACCUAGUGGUCCUCAAAUCGAUCAUAUGAUAAUAUACCAGUCAUUACCUGUAUAGAAUGUACCUUGUAUAAUCAGAUUAAUAUACAAAGCUUAUGGUCAAACUCGGUCUGCUGAGAAGGAUCUGAAAACGCUUUAUUGUACAUAGUGUCUUACAAACCUUUCCCCAAAGUAACUGAUGCAUGAAGUGAAGUUCAGAUGACUCAAUUUUUAUUAAAAGCUGCUGCACUAUAUUUGACUAUUAAGAAACUAAAGUUUCAACUCCCUCAGGCAAAGUUGGCUUUAGAUGGAUUUGGCUAUUUAUUUUAGGUAGUUUUAGCUCUUGACGGUUUCAGUACUUAUACAUCUUCGGAUUUCAAAAUGUUUGGAUUUGAGCGUUCUUGAUGAAGGUAAAUCCAGAAAAGCGCUUCAGACGCAAGAAAUUAUCAAACGUGUAGUUUAUAUUUUUCCGACGUAGUCGAUAUAGUUUCGGUUUGUGCCUUUUGAACUUAAUUAAGGACGCUUAACUAUGGCAACAGAAUACGCAUGCUCGAAAUUCUUUUCUGUGAUUGGAAAA
rnacentral:lncRNA from 1 species